rnacentral:rRNA from 1 species
UACAGAGGUCUCAAGCGUUGUUCGGAUUCAUUGGGCGUAAAGGGUGCGUAGGCGGCGCGGUAAGUCGGGUGUGAAAUCUCGGGGCUUAACUCCGAAACUGCAUUCGAUACUGCGGUGCUUGAGGACUGGAGAGGAGACUGGAAUUCCUGGUGUAGCGGUGAAAUGCGCAGAUAUCAGGAGGAACGACCGGUGGCGAAGGCGGGUCUCUGGGCCGAUACUGACGCUGAGGAGCGAAAGCGUGGGGAGCGAACAGG